UUGAUGCAGCUUCGUGGAUGCUUGUGGGAAUAGUGUCUAUCCAUGCUGCUACUUUUAUGAUUUUCGUAUUUGAAUGCUUAUCACCAAUGGAAUCAAAUACUAAAAAAUUUAUCCCACAAAAGACUCAUUUUUCCAUAACCAGGUCUUAUUGGUUAGUAUGGGCAGUUCUGUUCCAAGCGUCAGUUCAAGUUGAUUCGCCGCAAGGGAACGCAGCUAGGUUUUUCAAAUUGAUAUUUAGGAUGAAAAAAAUUUUUUCUUUCCAAAAUCGAAAAUGAAGCUUGUGUAGACUUUAUUCAGGCUUCUGAAGUUGCUUUGAAAAUUACUGAGCGACCAUUAGUUGCUGAGAUAUCGAUAAUCAAAGACAAAAAGAUCGUUUUUCGAUCGUAGUGUGAAACAAAAAAAGAAAAUUGUAGCUGAAUAAAUUUCUUAAACGAUGUUUUUGAUACGACCAUUUUUCACUAAAAUACAGUCUUCCAAAAAUCAUUAAAAAAUUUAUCAAAUCUUCUUGUUCCUUCAAUUUUUUGGAUAAGUGUAGUUCACGAGAUUUUUUUGGAAGAACGUUUUUUGUUGAUGUAAACCAUUAAGCAAACGAUUUUGGUAACCACAGCCCCGACUCAAUCCCUGCUUUGUACUAUUGGGUUACUCAUUUGCAAUAAAUAGUAAUAAACAUAGCAAACAACAUGAAUUGCGCAAAAUCAAAAACAAGAUGAGCUGGCUCUGGCUCCUAACUGGUGUAUGGUGCACUUAAACCAUCGGGCACUAAUCUUUUUUCUGCGACAAAUGUCAAUGUAAAUCGAUCUGUGGAUAAAAAAAUAAAUUAUUAAAAUUCAGGUGAAAUGAGCAAACAAUAGACAACGGUAAUUAUUGGAUCUCUGAGAACAGUAUAUUUAAGUGGCUUAAAAAUACAUUGUAAAUGAUGCAUCAAUCAGUCAACUUCAAUCAACUUUUUCGAUGUUAUUGUUUCUCGAUAUACCACAUACAGAAAUUAAGGCAUCUAAAAAAGUUCCAAAUUAUUGAGUGAUAUUUAACAUGCUGUAACUUCGAGGGAAAUAGUUAUACAGCAAAAAAAAAUCUAAGUGUGCCAUCAAGUGUUUUCAGAUCUGGACUCAUAAACUCUUAAUCAUGCAUGAUCCGUGGUAAUUCUUAAAAAAACCACGCACUCUGCAAGGUUUAGGGCUACACUCAAAAUCAAGAAUAUAUUGAUCUUGUCUUGAUCUUGUCUCGACUCAUCAAGACGAGACCAAAGCGAUAUUAUAGAUUGCAUUAUCGAGACCAAAACCUAAACCGUCGAAAAUCUUGCAAUGUCUUGACAAGAACCAACACAAUGUAAUAAAUAUAUGUAAAGUAGUUUUAUUAAG